UUUGAAAUCUCAAGUCGCGAUUU
rnacentral:snRNA from 1 species